GCCGAGUUAGCUCAGUUGGUAGAGCAACGGUUUUGUAAACCGUAGGUCGUCGGUUCAAGCCCGACACUCGGCUCCA
rnacentral:tRNA from 1 species